AUACGGAGGAUCCGAGCGUUAUCCGGAUUUAUUGGGUUUAAAGGGUGCGCAGGCGGCCAUUUAAGUCAGCGGUUAAAUCGUGGGGCUCAACCCCAUUCUGCCGUUGAUACUGGGUGGCUUGAUUGCGGUCGAGGUUGGCGGAAUUCGUUGUGGAGCGGUGAAAUGCAUAGAUAUGACGAAGAACACCGAUUGCGUAGGCAGCCUGCUGGACUGUAACUGACGCUGAUGCUCGGAAGUGUGGGUAUCAAACAGGAUUAGAUACCCUGGUAGUCCACACAGUAAACGAUGAAUACUCGCUGUUUGCGAUAUACAGUAAGCGGCCAAGCGAAAGCGUUAAGUAUUCCACCUGGGGAGUACGCCGGCAACGGUGAAACUCAAAUGAAUUGGCGGGG
rnacentral:rRNA from 1 species